rnacentral:rRNA from 1 species
UACGUAGGGAGCGAGCGCUGUCCGGAAUUACUGACCGUAAAGGACGUGUAAGCGCACAAUUUAAGUAAGGUGUGAAAACUCCGGGCUCAACCUGGAGACUGCACUUUAAACUGGAUUUCUUGAGGGCAGGAGAGGAAAGUGGAAUUCCUAGUGUAGCGGUGAAAUGCGUACAUAUUAGGAGGAACACCAGUGGCGAAGGCGACUUUCUGGACUGCACCUGACGCUGAGGCGCGAAAGCGCGUAGAGCGAACAGGAUUAAAUACCCUGGUAGUCCGCGCUGUAAACGAUGAAUACUACGUGUAGGGGGUAUCGACCCCCCCUGUGCCGCAGUUAACACAAUAAGUAUUCCGCCUGGGGAGUACCACCGCCAGGUUGAAACUCAAAGGAAUUGACGGGGAGCCGCACAAGCGGUGGAGCAUGUGGUUUAAUUCGUCGCACCGCGAAGAACCUUACCAGGGCUUGACAUCCCUUGACCGCCAUGGAAACAUGGUUUUCGGGCCUUCGGGUCCGACAAGGAGACAGGUGGUGCAUGGUUGUCGUCAGCUCGUGUCGUGAGAUGUUGGGUUAAGUACCGCACCGAGCGCAACCCCUAUUUCCAGUUGCCAGCACGUAACGGUGGGAACUCUGGAGAAACUUCCGGUGACAAACCGGAGGAAGGUGGGGAUGAGGUCAAAUCAUCAUGCCCUUUAUGUCCUGGGCUACACACGUGCUUCAAUGGCCGAUACAGAGGGCUGCAAAACCGUGAGGUGGAGCGAAUCCCAAAAGUCGGUUUCAGUUCGGAUUGCAGCAUGCAACUCGCGUGCAUGAAGUCGGAAUCCCUAGUAAUCGCGAGUCAGCAUAUCGCGGUGAAUACGUUUCCGGGUCU